CUGGAGUCUAUUGUAGCAAGGGGAUGGUAGGAUUUCAGACUAACAGAGGCCUCAGACAGACACUUAACUGGCAGAAGCAAAUGUGAGUCUGAAGAAACCAUUGCCUGCAGGAAAUGCUGGGACUCCAUGAAAUAGGAACUACCACAUUAUGCCACAUUCUCAGCCUGGGCGCCUUCAUCUCCCUCUAACUUCAAAGGAAUCUCUGCGUGAAGAGGGAGGGCUCACAAUAGAAGAAUUGGUCCGAUUAUCCCCCUCUGUUUGGAAAUGGGUAAAGAUUACAGAUGUUUUCUUCUUUCUGUGCUAUCUGUCUGUAUGGUGAUUCAGAGGGACCCAAUGACCAGAAGAAGGUACAUCAUUUCCAGCACACUGGCAGGAGAUGAAGAGCUGCUAGGUGGCAGCCAGAGACUGAACAGAGAUUGUUGAAGGAUGGAAGAAGAAAAUGAUAUAGGCUGUCACUGCAUAUAUUUUUUUGCAUUAAAUUAUAAACAAUACACUGUUAAUAUUUAAAUCAG